rnacentral:rRNA from 1 species
AGAGUUUGAUCAUGGCUCAGGAUGAACGCUGGCGGCGUGCUUAACACAUGCAAGUCGAACGAUGAAGGGGAGCUUGCUCCUUGGAUUAGUGGCGAACGGGUGAGUAACACGUGAGUAACCUGCCCUUGACUCUGGGAUAAGCGUUGGAAACGACGUCUAAUACCGGAUAUGAGCUUCCACCGCAUGGUGAGGGGCUGGAAAGAAUUUCGGUCAAGGAUGGACUCGCGGCCUAUCAGGUAGUUGGUGAGGUAAAGGCUCACCAAGCCGACGACGGGUAGCCGGCCUGAGAGGGUGACCGGCCACACUGGGACUGAGACACGGCCCAGACUCCUACGGGAGGCAGCAGUGGGGAAUAUUGCACAAUGGGCGCAAGCCUGAUGCAGCAACACCGCGUGAGGGACGACGGCCUUCGGGUUGUAAACCUCUUUUAGUAGGGAAGAAGCGAAAGUGACGGUACCUGCAGAAAAAGCACCGGCUAACUACGUGCCAGCAGCCGCGGUAAUACGUAGGGUGCAAGCGUUAUCCGGAAUUAUUGGGCGUAAAGAGCUCGUAGGCGGUUUGUCGCGUCUGCUGUGAAAACUGGAGGCUCAACCUCCAGCCUGCAGUGGGUACGGGCAGACUAGAGUGCGGUAGGGGAGAUUGGAAUUCCUGGUGUAGCGGUGGAAUGCGCAGAUAUCAGGAGGAACACCGAUGGCGAAGGCAGAUCUCUGGGCCGUAACUGACGCUGAGGAGCGAAAGCAUGGGGAGCGAACAGGAUUAGAUACCCUGGUAGUCCAUGCCGUAAACGUUGGGAACUAGAUGUAGGGGCCAUUCCACGGUUUCUGUGUCGCAGC